GAACUGCAAUGUUGGGGAGAUUAGGACCCCUUCAUUACACUUUUUUUCUACCUCACAUGAUGUAUGUUUCCAUCUCUUUAGUUACAACAACACCCCUGCUGAGAUGCUGGCACUUACAGAUGCACGUUGUAGAUCGAAACCCUUGAAAUCCCUUUCAUUCCCUUGCUAUUACCUAAUUUGUGCCCGCAAAAUCCUUCCCUUGGCAAAUGAGAUUGCCAGUCCCAGGACUCACUCCACUCAGCCAGCACAGCAGCAUGGCAGAGCCUGAGCUACCAUAUCCCCCUCAUUGCGUCCUUCUGUCCCUCUGCUCCCUGAGGCAGCAGUGCUUCCUCAGAAAUACUGCACCUAGCCUGGGUACCCAGAACUUCCUUUCUGGGCUGAGCACUACUUCACCUGAGUCAAUUGCAAGGUGAAUAUGAAAUAGUCCACAGAUGCUCAGUAGUUUGUUAAACAGAGGUAGCUUGACCAUCUGUGUUUGUUUUACUUGUCUUUGCUAACUAAAUCUAGCCACAGGCAUAGCUGAGCUUUUAGGGCCCAGUUUUUUUAGGGACCAGAUCCUCAAAGGCAUGAAGUCCAACUAACAAUGGGAACUGGGUCCUAAAAGCUUUGGAGGAGGGAUGCUGUGCAAUUAUACUUAACUUCAAAGAUGUAUCUAGAUAGUGAAACUGAGGGCUGUGAAUGGGCUUCAUAUCACCCAGCUUCCAGGGGGAGACUCAAACAUGUGCAUGUCGGUGUCUGUAAGUGAGUGAGCUGCCUUUGCUUCCACAAUGUAUACUGGAGGUCUCAGACUUAAUUCAGUUGUGUUAACAUAUGCCUUGAGAACUCUCUAGGUUGUUGAAGACUUCUGCAUGAAGCUGACGCAUAUGACAGAGGUCCUACAGAGACAUAUUUUCUUCAGCGGCUGGAGGCGUGGGACCAUAUGCUAAGGUAGAUGAGUAAACUGCACUCACUCCUAGCUGCAAGACAAGGAAGGAAGGAUUUGGUCUAGAAACCUGCUGAAGAAAGGGACUUGUUGACACUCUUUGGAGCAAUAUGAACACCUCUCCGUCCUCUCUGUAUUUCGGCUAGGCAAGCUAAAUGUCUGACCUCAGCUACUGUGAUAGAAUUUGUCUUGGUACUGCCAGGCAUUUGGGAUCUUGGGUGAAUCAUGUCCCCUUGUUAUGCCUCAUUGUUGAACUGGAGAUGAUGAUGGUUUCUCCAUCUCCUGCUCCUUCUAAGUCAAAGCAGUCCUUAGUUGCCACUUUGGAACAGAAUUCAAAUCACAUUGUGACUGAUUGUGACUGUACCAAGAAUCAGACCUGGAACUUUAAAACAUGUUUUUGUCUAUUCAAGUGCCAAGAUCAGAAUGAGAUAAAUCCAAAUACUACAUACUGGAAUAAAAUUAUAAACACCUUGAAGCUUCACUGUAAGAAGUCACUGGUUGUUGCCCAAUAAAAGACUUUUGUUACAACUGUACAUGCUGUUUACCAAGUAAACAGAGGAUUCCAGUAGUUAAUAACUCUUGCCUGGAUUAUGCCCUCUUCACCCACUGCCUGGCUGGCACCUCAUUUGGCCUCUUGGCAAGAACUGGAGCACAAGCUUGGCUUGCUACAACAGAGACUGUAAGUAGAUAUUUGCACCUUACUGGAGUGAAAUGUUUUUUCCAGCAGUACUGGUAAAGCAGGUCUCACAUGUAAAAGCCGUGGGAAGCUUGACUGGAGCAACCAUAUUUGCCAGUCCCUCCAACUGUCCCUUCACAACUCUAACAGUGAAGAGAAUUCAGCCUUGG